rnacentral:rRNA from 1 species
GAGUUUGAUCUUGGCUCAGAUUGAACGCUGGCGGCAUGCCUUACACAUGCAAGUCGAACGGCAGCACGGGGCUUGCUCCUGGUGGCGAGUGGCGAACGGGUGAGUAAUGCAUCGGAACGUAUCCUGGAGUGGGGGAUAACGUAGCGAAAGUUACGCUAAUACCGCAUAUUCUGUGAGCAGGAAAGCGGGGGACCUUCGGGCCUCGCGCUCUUGGAGCGGCCGAUGUCGGAUUAGCUAGUUGGUGAGGUAAAGGCUCACCAAGGCGACGAUCCGUAGCAGGUCUGAGAGGAUGAUCUGCCACACUGGAACUGAGACACGGUCCAGACUCCUACGGGAGGCAGCAGUGGGGAAUUUUGGACAAUGGGGGCAACCCUGAUCCAGCCAUGCCGCGUGAGUGAAGAAGGCCUUCGG